GGGCGAGACAGCAGACAUUAAACAAGAAGAGGCAAGUGAGACCCCCCAAAGGCAUACCGACCGCACUAAAGACACACCACGCUCCACUAUGCCUUCCUGGGCCUAGAGUCACCUGGGGAAUACCCCCAAAGCACAGACCACGCAGGCAGGAGGGAACAACGAGACGAAGCCACCGUGGUACAGCUCCUGGUAACUUCCCGGUUGGGAACAACUUGGACUCAAAGAAG